rnacentral:rRNA from 1 species
CACGGAGGGGGCUAGCGUUGUUCGGAAUUACUGGGCGUAAAGCGUACGUAGGCGGCUUUGUAAGUUAGAGGUGAAAGCCCAGAGCUCAACUCUGGAAUUGCCUUUAAGACUGCAUCGCUUGAAUCGUGGAGAGGUUAGUGGAAUUCCGAGUGUAGAGGUGAAAUUCGUGGAUAUUCGGAAGAACACCAGUGGCGAAGGCGACUAACUGGACACGUAUUGACGCUGAGGUACGAAAGCGUGGGGAGCAAACAGG